ACACUUUUUCUAGCUACAAAAACUGUUGCAGAACAAGUUAUGUGUGUACUACUAUGAAGCUGUAGUUUACAGCAAUGGAGCAUAUAUACCGGUUAAGCAAAGGGAAAACACUCACCAUCUUAGUCUAUUUGUGAGUAAGAGUCUCCUUUUUUAUUGCAAAACAAACUUUCUCUCUUCAGUUAACUUUUCCAUUAUGAGAAAUGGAGGCCUUGUCAAUAUUUUCAUGUAUGUUUACUAGAGGGACAUAGCAGUUUUCUGAAAAGUGGUAUCGUUUGCCGGAUACAUUUGGUAGCUCAUACUAUAAGGAUACUUUGUCCUAGUGGGUGUGGAAGUUAAAUUAGUUUUGAGGCUUCUAUAUGCUUUAUUUAUUGUAACAACUCAAGAUCUUUGAAUAUACUCAACCUGGACAUAGUAAGGAAUUAGCCAAAUUAAUUACAUGAAAAGUAAAGCAAGUAAUUCUAUUUUAACGUAGAAGAAUACCUCUCAAGCUAUACAGAUUUGGUGAGUCUUGCAAGACACUAUAUAAUUGUUUAUUGUUUUGCAUGUUGUAUAGUUUUGAUUCUUUCAAUGCUCUUUUUAAGUUUAAGUUAUAGACAUUUAUUAGAUGCAUGUAUGCUUCCUAUUAUGCCAAGCUUGUAAAGUACCUGUCCUGUAAAAAUUUUUUUGCACACACACUUAUCUAUGAGUUCUGUCUUUAAUGUUAGGAUAAAUGAUAGUUAGAAAAAUAAUAAACUACUAUUUCUGUUGUUUUAUGUAGUUU